CCUACGGGAGGCAGCAGUGAGGAAUAUUGGUCAAUGGCCGGAAGGCUGAACCAGCCAAGCCGCGUGAAGGACGAAGGUGCCAAGCAUUGUAAACUUCUUUUGUCAAGGGACAAAAUCAGGCUCGAGAGCCUGACCGAGGGUACUUGAAGAAAAAGCAUCGGCUAACUCCGUGCCAGCAGCCGCGGUAAUACGGAGGAUGCGAGCGUUAUCCGGAUUUAUUGGGUUUAAAGGGUGCGUAGGCGGACUGUUAAGUCAGCGGUAAAAGCCCGGGGCUCAACCCCGGCGAGCCGUUGAACCUGGCUGUCUUGAGAUGUCGAGAGGUAUGCGGAAUGCGCAGUGUAGCGGUGAAAGGCUUAGAUAUUGCGCAGAACUCCGAUUGCGAAGGCAGCAUACCGGCGGCGAUCUGACGCUGAGGCACGAAAGCGUGGGUAUCGAACAGGAUUAGAUACCCGGGUAGUC
rnacentral:rRNA from 1 species